GCCAUUUACUCCAUGGUUUGAAAUCAAGACAAAAUUCAAGCUCCAAAAUAUGGCAGAAAUUCGUGAACUCGUGACUUGGUUGAGGGUUUAUAUUAGGAAAAGAAAUGCAAAAGAAUGGUUCUAGUACAGUCAAGACCAUCAUCUUUAUUAAACCCAGAAAUGAGAAAGACUGUAGGUGCAGGAUCCAUGAAGUAACUCUCUCUCUCUCUCUCUCUCUCUCUCUUUGCUACAGCUUUGUGAGCUUCAUUUCUAAGCACAGGCGAAAAACCAAAGGAAAUAGGAAAUAAAAAACCAAAGGACACACUUUUUCCCCGUCUUUCUCGCACUUUCUCCCUCAAAUCCUCAACAAGAAUCACUGGGCUCACACAACCGACAUGCAAAGAGACUCACGAGUCAUGAUCAAGAGACCAGACGUGCAUGCGCCAGACACCAGCAGUAGCAGACCAAGGUUUUGUAUUUAUGUUUUGCCCUUUUCUUUCUUCGGGAUCUGCUAUUUUUUUUAUCUAUUUUUAUUUUUUAAUAUGUCCCAUAUAAUUCAGUACUAGCGGUAUUUCAACUAAAACCAAAAAACAUAUAAAUACCGGCGGAUUUAUCAUAAGAAAAAGAAGUUCAUCAAAUUCGAAGCUCUAGAAGCAGACAAAACCCAAUUACAGAACCCCAAAAACACACAAAUUAAACCCCAAAAUGAAAACAAAAGAAGUGUUGUGGUGAAUGGUGAAUGGUGAAUGAUCAGUAACGCUGUUGCUCUCUCUCUUGCUCCCCUCUUUUUCCUUAGUGGGCCAUCUUUUUCUAUACUUUUGGCCCUUUAAAGUUUAAAUCCCACUAUAUCAGUCAUUCCACCAUCAAACCUGAAAAAUCGCCAUGAAGUUGCAGAGAGGACAGGGAGGAGAGAGAGAGAGAGAGAGAGAGCUCGUG
rnacentral:misc_RNA from 1 species